UGCACGACAGUGCGAUAGGGGGAUCCCAAGUGCACAGGCAUAGCGCCUGUGCUUUUCGGCACCCUAAGGUGGUGCCAGAAUAAGGGCUGGGCAAGACCGGUGCCAGCCGCCGCGGUAAUACCGGCAGCCCGAGUGAUGGCCGAUCUUAUUGGGCCUAAAGCGUCCGUAGCUGGCCGCGCAAGUCCAUCGGGAAAUCCACCUGCUCAACAGGUGGGCGCCCGGUAGAAACUGCGUGGCUUGGGACCGGAAGGCGCGACGGGUACGUCCGGGGUAGGAGUGAAAUCCCGUAAUCCUGGACGGACCGCCGAUGGCGAAAGCACGUCGCGAGAACGGAUCCGACAGUGAGGGACGA
rnacentral:rRNA from 1 species